GAACGCAGAGCUUUCUCCCUGGCCCUCUGCACCCUCCCUGCCUUUCCAGCCCUUCCACUCUCUCUCACUUUCAGCCUGGGGAAUGGAGGGUACCGGGGUGCUCCAGAGAGGGAGAGAGAACUACGGCUUGCCACACCACUACUGAGAGAAGUUGGCAAGACAUUUUCAAGAGUCCUAAGAACAAGGGUCGUGAUUAGUAAUGCCAAGAUGGAGCGCUAUCGACGCAGCUGUGAGUUCCUGAUCUGGAGAGAAACCUAACUAAUGAAAGGCAAUGGAGGAUGCAGUUUCAAAUCAUUCCCACCUUCCCCACCCCACAAAUCACUUGGACAAGCUCGGAUUUGUCUGCCCAACGGCCCCGGCUGACCUCCGUGCACUGCUGAAAAGGAUUCCUUCGUCCAUUGAGGAAAACCAUUCCCCCCCCAAGACCCCCAUCCUGCAACAGGUAACAAUGAGAAAGCCUGAUAGCCAUCUCCAACUGUAAACCAGGUGUGACAAUUUUACUACUUUUUUCCAAUGGGUAU